ACAUGCCUACAACGUAGCGUUAAUGCACCAGAUCCCAUUAGAACUCCAUAGUUAAGCAUGCUCAGGAUAGAGUAGUACUGGGAUGGGUGAUCCGUCAGGAUUUUUCGAAUGACUAUGGU
rnacentral:rRNA from 1 species